rnacentral:rRNA from 1 species
UACGAAGGGGGCGAGCGUUGUUCGGAAUUACUGGGCGUAAAGGGCGCGCAGGCGGCUCUGAAAGUCAGAUGUGAAAGCCCCGGGCUUAACCUGGGAAUUGCAUUUGAUACUCUGGAGCUUGAGUGUGGGAGAGGAGAGUGGAAUUCCCAGUGUAGAGGUGAAAUUCGUAGAUAUCUGGAGGAAUACCGGUGGCGAAGGCGGCAUCCUGGACCGACAUUGACGCUGAUGAGCGAAAGCUAGGGGAGCAAACGGG